rnacentral:rRNA from 1 species
GAUGAACGCUAGCGAUAGGCCUAACACAUGCAAGUCGAGGGGCAGCAUAGAGUAGCAAUACUUUGAUGGCGACCGGCGCACGGGUGAGUAACACGUAUGCAACCUACCUACAUCAGGGGAAUAACCCGGAGAAAUUCGGACUAAUACCGCAUAAUACAGGGAUGCCGCAUGGCAAUAUUUGUUAAAGAUUUAUCAGAUGUAGCUGGGCAUGCGUUCCAUUAGCUUGUUGGUGAGGUAACGGCUCACCAAGGCAACGAUGGAUAGGGGAACCGAGAGGUUUGUCCCCCACACUGGAACUGAGACACGGACCAGACUCCUACGGGAGGCAGCAGUGAGGAAUAUUGGUCAAUGGACGAGAGUCUGAACCAGCCAAAUCGCGUGAAGGAAGACUGCCCUACGGGUUGUAAACUUCUUUUGUACAGGAAUAAAAGACAUUACGUGUAAUGUAUUGCAUGUACUGUACGAAUAAGCAUCGGCUAACUCCGUGCCAGCAGCCGCCGUAA